rnacentral:hammerhead_ribozyme from 1 species
GCCCAGAUGACGAGUCCCAAACAGGACGGAAUGCGCAUUUUUCUGGAU